rnacentral:ncRNA from 1 species
AAAAGUUUUAUUCUUGCUUAUUUAUUCAUUUUUUCUUUGUAUUAUAUGUAAGUUUUGAAUUACUAAAUGUUCUUUUUGCAGUAAUUUUAUUUAAUUAUCAAGUUAUUUUGGAAUUAGCAAUUGAUAAAGUAUCGGCAUAUUUCGUGCCAGCAGCCGCGGUUAUACGAUUGAUACAAAUGAAUAUUUUUGGUUAAAACAGUUAUUUAUAAUUUUGAGUUUAAUUAUAAAUUUUUAUGGUGAAAUUUAAUUUUUAUUAAUGAUUCUUUUUAUGAAUCUGUGAAACUUAAAUAAUAAACUAGGAUUAGAUACCCUAUUAUUUUAAGUGUUAAUUAUAUUUACCUGGGUACUAUUAGUUAGGAUCUUUAAACCCAAAGAAUUUGGCGGUAUCUUAUUCCAUUCAGAGGAACCUACCCCGUGAUUGAUAAUACACGAUUAAUUUUACUUAAUUUAUUUGUUUGUAUAUCUCCGUUAUCAGAAAAUCUUUUUAGAGUUAUAAUUUUCUUGAUUUAUAAUUAUAAAAUAUUUCAGGUCAAGGUGCAGCUUAUAAUUAAGAGGUGGUGGGUUACAAUAGAUUAUUGUUUAUAUGGAUUUAAUUGUGAAAUACGAUUAAUGAAGGUGGAUUUGAUAGUAAUUUUAUUUAUUUAAUUUAAUUGAUAUUGGCUCUGAGGUGUGUACACAUCGCCCGUCGCUCUCAUUAUUGAAUGUUAUUUAAUUUUUAUGAUAAAUUUUUCAAUUUAGAUGAGAUAAGUCGUAACAUAGUAGAUGUACUGGAAAGUGUAUCUAGUAAGAUUUU